CACGCCCUGACCUACUACACCAUAGAAAACCAAGGGCUCUCUAUGGUCAGGGUGUGACAAAACCGGUGUUAUAUGUUUUUACAGAUAUUCUAAAAUGGGUGGACAACGAUUUUUCAGGUAUGUAUUUAUGUCAAUUGCAUGUAUUUUUAUAAGUUAAAAUGUAUAUAUUUCGUAUAAAUAUAUGUUAAUAUUAUCUAACGUCUAUAGGUUAUCCGUCAUUUACCCAGUUGCUACCGGGAAUAAUUGAUAUGGAUCAGCCAUCAUUAGAUGGAGGUUCUCAGAAGCAGACAGUGCCCGGUCCUUUACAUAGCCCGUCACCGUCACGCUAUUUUUGACCGGACAGCCCCCCAGCAAGGAUAUGUGAUGCAUAAUGGACUCUGAACGACUUCGGAGGAGCCGAUGAAACAGACAGUAUUCUACCGUUUUGUACGAAUGUUUUUCCAAACACUCCAAGAACUGAGGCUAUAACCAGCAGAUCCACACCCCCAGGAACCUCAAGCCAAUCGCUCCAUAAUCUGGCAUUUACGACGCUUCAUAGUCCUUCACGACUCCGCACAGCUGUGGCCAAAGUGCAUUGCGCAGAAUCACCCCAGCCCGAGAAGGGAGGAUACAGGGCUGAAAACGUACGGAUUCAAGAACCGGCGCUCUAUAGAUACGACUCCAACGAUACACGCCUGGCAGAAUCUGCAAAGCCAGACUCCUCCCCGGUGUCAAGGCUGGCUCAAGAAAGCAGGAGAGGUAGAGUCAGGCGCAGGAGACAGUGAAUUCUUGAACACACUUUAAUUCAAGAAAACUGUUAUGGUCGUCAGAAAAUAGGGACGCAGCCCUUAAAUACUUCUGCGGUGGUAAAACACAAAAAACCAACCACAGGCAGAGGGGAAAAAAAACACACGUUCCUCAAGCACACAAACCUGACAAGGAACAUAAUCACGCACAAACACAGACAUACUACGCUAAACUAAAUAACCCCCCCUACUAAUAACUAACCCAAAACAGGUGCGUGCCUACCUAGACCUAACCAACAGAAAGUGAAACAAAAAGGAUCGAUGGCAGCUAGUAGGACGGCGACGACGACCGCCGAGCCCCGCCCGGUCGAGGGGGGAGUGCCACCAUCCGUCGGUGUCGUGACACCCGGCAUAUACUGGCACAGAAGGCCUAACACAUUGAGAGCACGUGGAGGAUUUCGUCGCCCAGAACAUCCACAGUAAAACACUGAAACCGGAUGAUUUCAACACUUUAAAUGACAAUUCUGAGCUCGACGAUUUGCUGUUGUAUGAGGCGGCCCGCCAUCUUGAUACAGACAGUUCUGACAUAGAAACAAUAAUGCAAAGGUAUAUAUUUCAUACAAUUACCCUGUUAAAACUGUUGUUACAAUAUCACUUCUCAUUGUGUACAUUUCCAGGUUUCACAAACAUAAAACAACUAUCUAAUUAAUGUUUAUCGGACUAACACACUGUUGAGUUUCCUAUUUACUAAAGAACAAUCACUAAGACAAAACACAAAAGUUGUAAUAUAAUCUGUAUACAUGUCAUUCUAUACUGAAAAUAGGGACAUUCUGAAAGAUGUUGAUGUGAUAACACAUUUUUUUUAUUCAUCUCUCAGUUUAGGAUAAUGCUGUUUAUUUUAUACUUUACUUAAAUUGUAUUAUUUAUCUUGUCUCAUACCAUGCUAAUACACUACUAAGCAAUGCAAACAGAUAUGGAAUUAACCCCGUAACAGGUGUGUGUCUUUUAUGGAUCAAGAAUUGAUCAAGAAUAACAAUAGCCUUGAUCAGAUCCUCUUCCCUAUUACGGCAUCAUAUAAUGCACAGUCAUAUGCAAAUCCAUAAAACUCCAUCAAUAAAACAUUGAAAACCUUAACAGGACUACUUGCAUAUGCAUAUCCUAGCUUCUGGGCCUGAGUAGCAGAUAGUUUACUUUGGGCACCUCAGUCAUCCAAACUUUGGAAUACUGCCCCCUAUUCCUAACAAGUUAAAGGUUUUGUAAGUUGUAACAGGUCUCAUUCCGCAGUCUAGAGAUCGGAUAAAAAAGGGCUUCCAUCUAAGGAAUGCCCCACUUACUAAAAGCAAACUCUUGUCAUAGACCAUCUUGCCCUUUGGAUACUGACUUAUGUUACAAGCCCCGUGUGUCUUAAAGCUUAAGAUAUAAUGUCUGCUGUAGACGGUUUUGACCCCAGGUUGCAACUACCAUUUUCGGCCUUAAUCACAGGCCCAUCCAAUAGCGGUAAAACUUGUUUUGUAAAAAGUAUUUUAGAGAAUUCUGAACAUGUAUUAUCUCAGAAACCUGACAAUAUUGUGUGGUGUUAUUCGUGUUAUCAACCUUUGUAUGAUGAGCUGUUGAAGAAAAUAAAAAUCAAGUUUGUUG